ACGAACGCUGGCGGCGUGCUUAACACAUGCAAGUCGAGCGGAAAGGCCCUUCGGGGUACUCGAGCGGCGAACGGGUGAGUAACACGUGAGUAACCUGCCCCAGACUUUGGGAUAACCCUCGGAAACGGGGGCUAAUACCGGAUACGACACAGCUUCGCAUGGGGUCUGUGUGGAAAGUUUUUCGGUUUGGGAUGGGCUCGCGGCCUAUCAGCUUGUUGGUGGGGUGAUGGCCUACCAAGGCGACGACGGGUAGCCGGCCUGAGAGGGCGACCGGCCACACUGGGACUGAGACACGGCCCAGACUCCUACGGGAGGCAGCAGUGGGGAAUAUUGCACAAUGGGCGGAAGCCUGAUGCAGCGACGCCGCGUGAGGGAUGACGGCCUUCGGGUUGUAAACCUCUUUCAGCAGGGACGAAGCGUAAGUGACGGUACCUGCAGAAGAAGCGCCGGCCAACUACGUG
rnacentral:rRNA from 1 species